rnacentral:lncRNA from 1 species
CACAAAAAAACUCCAGAUCGAGUAUUUAGCAGUUGGUGUUCUAAGUGUAGGCCGAUGAAAUGCUAGAUAUUUUCCUUUGUUACAUGCAGUGUGCAUACACACACCACAAUCUCAUUUUACGCACCUGCAUGGGAUCAGUAGUUAGGCUCUGCUACCCACAGAAGGAAAAUGUGUUUAUCUGAUGUAACUGAAAAGAAACCACAACGUCUACUGUCUUUCUGCUCCCUAGAGAGGAGUUUAGCUACACAGCACUUCAACUGAACUCCCCACUCUAAUCAUACUCUGCAGACCAUGCUUUAAAUGUUUUACUCAAAUGAAUCAACAAAGGCGUUACCCCAAAGAAAGCUAACGUGUCCGGUUUGCAGAGAAGGAUGGUUAUUCUGGUGCAUCUGUUAAUUAUACACAGAGUGGUAAUCAUUGCUCCCUACUUGUUGAAAUCUUGCCACGCAGAUGCACCGUGUUUGAAAGUGCAGUUGUGUCAUGAUGUAACCCUAUGUGGUAGUGUAUUGUUUAAACAAAUACAACAAGAUAUAUUUUUGGUGAGAAUUCUGGAGACACAACAUUUGAGUGUGAUUUGCCUCUCAUACAGAUCAAGUAGCUAGGCAUUGUCCAGACAUGUUUAUUCUUCAACUAGAUUUACAAUACUUACUGAUUUACGGUCAAAUUGACUAGACUAGGACCAGCAACCACUUAGGUGGUUUUAAGUGCUUGUAUUCAGCUGUUUAUGCUGAUGGUUUCUAUAUGCCUUAAACACUAUUUGAGGCUAUCUGGACCCUGGAUUUGGAAAAAUGUUCAUAUGCAAACAUUACUGACAUGAUUAAUCGGAAGCCUUGAAGGAAGACAAGGCAUUGUGCCUUGAUAGGUGAGAAAUGACCCUCAUCCACAGGGUUUCUUAAAUGUUAAUGACAUUUGACAAUUUAUGGGAGGAUGGGCCACUGGAUUGCUUUGAUAAUUGUAUCUCACAUUUGACAUGAGCUGGAGCCAGGCUACAGACUCCUGUAACAGUGGUUUAUGUUUUCCUCACUCCAUGAAGGCAUACAAGAAAAUACAAUUGUUGGGGUGUGGUCUUCACACAUUUGUAAUCUUCUUUUGAUAUACUAACC